CGCGACCCUCUGCUCGUCAUCAUAAAUGCACACGAGACCAAGCAAAGCAACCUGUCCUAACUACCAGGUAAUCGGACAGAGCGCACCUGCGUCCUCCCCUGCCGCAAAAUUAUCGUCACGUCGCCUUCGCGGCUUGCCUCCGCCGGCCGGUCCCCCGAAGUAAGCAGCUCCUGCUUCUCUUCUCCUCUCCUCCAUCUAACCAACCAACCAACCCGCCGGCUCCGGAGAAGAAAAGGACUCGAGCUCGAGCACGGCGAUGAGUGACCCGAGGUACGCGCACCCAUACCCCGCGCAAGGUUACUACCAGGGGCCGCCGGUGAUGGCGCCGCCGCAGUACCAGUACGCACCGCCGCCGCCACGGUCGCCGGGGUUCCUCGAGGGCUGCCUCGCGGCGCUGUGCUGCUGCUGCCUCAUCGACGAGUGCUGCUGCGACCCCUCCAUCAUCUUCGUCAGCUGAUCAAGACACCGAAACGCCCAAAGGCGCGCCAUGGUUGUACGAACCGCGUCGUGAUCUGUCUAUGUUCGUCCUGGAUUCACUUCACGUAUGUAUAUUGCUUGCUGGCUGCUGCUGUUCCUCUGGUCCGUUUAGCUAGGUUGGUGUUGCUUGUUGCUUCGGGGCCGGUGCCCCGUGCCCGUCUGUAUCUAUCUUAUCUCACCAGGAUCUAACUGGGAGUUGAUGAGAGUUAAUUGUGCGUCUCUUCCUGCUGCCGUUCAUCAUCUUCUUCUUCUUCUUUUGGGGGACUUUCCACUUGAUUUAGUUGUUGCUACCUUCUUUGAGAGGAUUAAUGUACUCUUAUCGACCGGGUGAUUCUGUUCCUACAAGAUGAACUAUGUUUCUUCUUCUUCUUUCUU